GUCUUAGGCUGGCCAUGUACUGUGUGGGUAUUGUGUACUCUUAAGACCUUAACAGCUUAACGGUUUUUCAUUUUUAUCUUCUGAGUAUGUAACUUGUAAUGGGCAUCUAUCCAGUUAACUUGUUCUGAGUAAGGGUGUUGGUCAUGUGAAUGUCAUUACAAGGUACUUUGAUUCUAAAUAGGGAGGCUGGGCCAGAAGAGGUGGUGGCCCCUGGAAAUUCUGAACUAGAGGAAUCUCAACAUGUGUUUCUUGCCAGGAUCCUUGGACCCAAAGCACAGAAUCCC
rnacentral:lncRNA from 1 species